rnacentral:rRNA from 1 species
GAUCCUGGCUUAGGAUGAACGCUAGCGACAGGCUUAACACGUGCAAGUCGAGGGGCAGCAUAAAAGUAGCAAUACGUUGGUGGCGACCGGCGCACGGGUGAGUAACGCGUAUGCAACCUACCUAUCAGAGGGGAAUAACCCGGCGAAAGUCGGACUAAUACCGCAUAAAACAGGGGCACCGCAUGGUGAUAUUUGUUAAAGAGAUUCGCUGAUAGAUGGGCAUGCGUUCCAUUAGGUAGUUGGUGAGGUAACGGCUCACCAAGCCGACGAUGGAUAGGGGAACUGAGAGGUUGGUCCCCCACACUGGUACUGAGACACGGACCAGACUCCUACGGGAGGCAGCAGUGAGGAAUAUUGGUCAAUGGGCGGGAGCCUGAACCAGCCAAGUCGCCGUGAAGGAAGAAGGAUCUAUGGUUCGUAAACUUCUUUUGCAGGGGAAUAAAGUGCAGGACGUGUCCUGCUUUGUAUGUACCCUGAGAAUAAGGAUCGGCUAACUCCGUGCCAGCCGCCGC